UUGCGCACAAUCAGCUAUUUUACUUAUGAAAUGAUCGAUAGACAGGGAAAAUCGCCAAGGAGGGCGAUUUUAGGAAACGCAGGGCAGGAUGCCCGUUGUUUCCGUCCCGUCCGGUUUGAAACGCUUACCCCAUUUCAUUAGUAAAAUCUGAUUGGAAGCUC
rfam:Lachnospiraceae bacterium 28-4 genomic scaffold acPFn-supercont1.2, whole genome shotgun sequence.